GACGAACGCUGGCGGUGUGCUUAACACAUGCAAGUGGAGCGACGAACCAGGGCUUGCCCUGGGGCAGAGCCGCGAACGGGUGAGUAACACGUGGGUAACGUACCCCGAUGACCGGGACAACCCGAGGAAACUCGGGCUAAUACCGGAUGUGUCCUGAUCUCAUGAGAGUUCAGAGCAAAGGAAGCUUCGGCCUCCGCAUCGGGAGCGGCCCGCGGCCCAUUAGCUAGUUGGUGGGGUAAUGGCCUACCAAGGCUGCGAUGGGUAGCUGGUCUGAGAGGACGAUCAGCCACACUGGGACUGAGACACGGCCCAGACUCCUACGGGAGGCAGCAGUGGGGAAUCUUGCGCAAUGCGCGAAAGCGUGACGCAGCAACACCGCGUGAGGGAAGACGGCCUUCGGGUUGUAAACCUCUUUCAGGAGGGACGAAGGGCGACCGGUGAAUAGCCGUGUUGCUUGACGGUACCUCCAGAAGAAGGUCCGGCUAACUACGUGCCAGCCGCCGCAGUAACAC
rnacentral:rRNA from 1 species